GAUAUCUUUAAAAUAACUUUAAUUAAAAAUUAAUUCUAUUAACGAAAUUCUAAAACUGACUACUGAAUUAGUUAUUUCAAGAUCAUCAUUCCAUCUUCAAAUAUAGGAUAAAAAUAAUAAGUUAUCUCGCAAUUAUUUUUACUAUAGGGUUGAAGUAAAUCGAAAUGUGAGGGUAGUCAAAUUUGGACAUUUCACCUUAAUUUAUAGGCAUAUAUAUUAGGGUUCCAUUGCAGUGCAGCCUCCAGGCAGGUCAUGCUGAUCAAAUGUUCAUACCUUAAUAAUUACCUAUGAACUUAAACCCAAUGUUCUGUUAUAUCAUGUAGUGAAAUGUUCUCUUUUUAACAUCUUGCCUAUGGGAUGAGAACUCCCAUUUCCAAAACCCAUCGUGUAUUUCCUAAUGUUAGAAAGGCUACUUGUAUAGUUGAUCUUGAUCAGUUCGUAAAAGAAUGUAAUGUGGACUGAAUUAUUGUUUAAAAUGAGAUAAAGCACUUUUGUGUAGCAUUUAUUUUUCACUUGAAAA